rnacentral:rRNA from 1 species
GACGAACGCUGGCGGCGUGCUUAACACAUGCAAGUCGAACGGAAAGGCCCUGCUUUUGUGGGGUGCUCGAGUGGCGAACGGGUGAGUAACACGUGAGUAACCUGCCCUUGACUUUGGUAUAACUUCAGGAAACUGGGGCUAAUACCGGAUAGGAGCUCCUGCUGCAUGGUGGGGGUUGGAACGUUUCGGCGGUUGGGGAUGGACUCGCGGCUUAUCAGCUUGUUGGUGGGGUAGUGGCUUACCAAGGCUUUGACGGGUAGCCGGCCUGAGAGGGUGACCGGCCACAUUGGGACUGAGAUACGGCGCAGACUCCUACGGGAGGCAGCAGUGGGGAAUAUUGCACAAUGGGCGGAAGCCUGAGGCAGCAACGCCGCGUGCGGGAUGACGGCCUUCGGGUUGUAAACCGCUUUCGCCUGUGACGAAGCGUGAGUGACGGUAAUGGGUAAAGAAGCACCGGCUAACUACGUG